GAGUUUGAUCCUGGCUCAGGACGAACGCUGGCGGCGUGCCUAAUACAUGCAAGUCGAGCGAGCUUGCCUAGAUGAUUUUAGUGCUUGCACUAAAUGAAACUAGAUACAAGCGAGCGGCGGACGGGUGAGUAACACGUGGGUAACCUGCCCAAGAGACUGGGAUAACACCUGGAAACAGAUGCUAAUACCGGAUAACAACACUAGACGCAUGUCUAGAGUUUGAAAGAUGGUUCUGCUAUCACUCUUGGAUGGACCUGCGGUGCAUUAGCUAGUUGGUAAGGUAACGGCUUACCAAGGCAAUGAUGCAUAGCCGAGUUGAGAGACUGAUCGGCCACAUUGGGACUGAGACACGGCCCAAACUCCUACGGGAGGCAGCAGUAGGGAAUCUUCCACAAUGGACGAAAGUCUGAUGGAGCAACGCCGCGUGAGUGAAGAAGGGUUUCGGCUCGUAAAGCUCUGUUGGUAGUGAAGAAAGAUAGAGGUAGUAACUGGCCUUUAUUUGACGGUAAUUACUUAGAAAGUCACGGCUAACUACGUGCCAGCAGCCGCGGUAAUACGUAGGUGGCAAGCGUUGUCCGGAUUUAUUGGGCGUAAAGCGAGUGCAGGCGGUUCAAU
rnacentral:rRNA from 1 species